rnacentral:rRNA from 1 species
AUGAACAAACCUUAUGUGCCACGGUUGAAAUCAGCUGCUUAUGCAAUAAUGAUCACACUCUACAGGGAAAUGGAAAGAGGGAAGGAAUUUAUGAUGAGGCAAGAGCUUAUUGAUGCUGCUGAAGCCAGUGGUCUGUCACACCAUGCAAUAGGCCCAAACAACAGUAGGAAUUCUCGGAAUGACGGUUACAGUUUCACUGGAUGGAAUAGCAUGAAGACGUUAACAAAUAAGGAUCUGGUUGAGAAAAAGAGUAAUCCUGCAAAGUAUUACCUAACAGAAAAAGGCAAAGAGACAGCCCGUGAUUGUCUUGCACGGUCUAGAUUGGACGGUCCUGCAGGACCUUUAACGGCGGCCGGUCAUCCUGCAGUUGUGCUCAGCGAUUAA